AUACCUUUCUCGGCCUUUUGGCUAAGAUCAAGUGUAGUAUCUGUUCUUAUCAGUUUAAUAUCUGAUACGUGAGUCAUUGACUCACAUGAUAUUAAAUUUAUUUUUUCAGGGAGAGGAUCCUUCAUAGUAGCUUGCUACUGGGAUUCUCAUGUGUUGCCCAUGCCUUACACUACAGGAGGGGCUUGGCACAUCCCAC
rfam:Cajanus cajan CcLG03_867, whole genome shotgun sequence.